GGACGUGAGGCAGAUCUGGCUGCAACAUCUGUCACCCCACUGACGGCCAGGGUUGAUUCCGCGGCUGGCGAGGCGGUGUCCCCUUCCUCCCUCACUGCCCAGUGCGAGGCCCUCCGGGAGCUUAGCGCUCACGCUCAGCUCCGCGGGAGAGCACGACCACCCUCCGCAGAGGAGGUCUGGGUCCUCGUCAGUGUGCGGGGGCAGCGCUCUCCUGCCGGUACCCCCAGAGCUCUCAGGAGGGUCACCCUCCGUGGUGAGCAGCUGCAUUCAGUGUGCAUCCCAGCUACGACACACGGAAAAUGGCGCUCGCCCGUGUGCUCCU
rnacentral:snRNA from 1 species